CAGCCACAGACAUCGGGGAGUUCGGCCAGCGGUCAGGGGAUUUAAAACUGAAUUACAGGGAAAGGUCGGUAAUGAAAAAUUCCUGCACCCCGACAUCCCGUGUUGUUGUGUAAUGAAGACGGGAAUGUUAUGGCGCAGAUCUGUCCCGUGUUGCUGCCGUGAUUUUGUUAUUAACACAAAAAUAACAGAAAAUGUUAUUUGAAAAUUGAUAACAUAUAUUAUCAAACCUUUACACUUAUCAGUAGAUUGAAUAAAAUUUAUAUACAUAAAGCUAAUUAUAAUCGAAAAAGGGGAAAAGAUUACAGAAUACCGUAAACAUAAUAAUUUAAUUCCCCACCCGCGGCUGUGUGGGGGAUUACGGAGCAAUUUUACAUUUUUCGCUGACGAAAAUAGAAAUAAGGUCGGUACAAAAUCGUGGAGCAAUUUUUAACGAGAACCAGUAAUGGGCCUAACAGUAGCCCGCGGCUUGCGGGGCCGGGCGCAGCAACCAGCGACACACUCGCACCUGCAGAGUUAACAUGAUGUCCUUCUCUACCUAACAUAGCUCACAUUAGAGUCCAGUGAAAAGCCGAUCCUUAAGCAGGUAUCAGGUAAACUGGCCGAGACAUUUAGUUUUGCGCGGCGGCUGUCGGUGGCUGUCGGCGGCUGACGACGUAGUGCUGAGUCACGGGCCGCUUGUUAUGGAAACUACGUCGCGUCCAUUUUGCC